AACGCACAUUGCGCCCUCUGGUAUUCCGGGGGGCAUGCCUGUUCGAGCGUCAUGUCUAACUCAAGCUCUUUGCUUGGUGUUGGGUGCCGUCCCCCGGGACGCACCUGGAAAUCAGCGGCGAUGCGGCCGGCGACCAGGCGUAGUAAACCACUUCCGCUUAGGUUCCUCGGGCGCGUUCGCCGGACAACCCUCCAUUUUUUAACUAUGGUUGACCUCGGAUCAGGUAGGGAUACCCGCUGAACUUAA
rnacentral:misc_RNA from 1 species